UACAGAGGUCCCGAGCGUUGUUCGGAUUCACUGGGCGUAAAGGGUGCGUAGGUGGCAGGGUAAGUUUGAUGUGAAAUCUCCGGGCUUAACCCGGAAACUGCAUUGAAUACUAUCCUGCUUGAGGGUUGGAGGGGGGACUGGAAUUCUCGGUGUAGCAGUGAAAUGCGUAGAUAUCGAGAGGAACACCAGUGGCGAAGGCGAGUCCCUGGACAACACCUGACACUGAGGAGCGAAAGCGUGGGGAGCGAACAGG
rnacentral:rRNA from 1 species